GAAGUCAGCCACUAAGUCUGGCCCACACUCAAGGGAGGGCAAUCGGCUCUACCUUUCGAGUGGAGGACUAAAAAAGGAUUUGUGGAUGUAUUUGAAAACCAUCACAGAUGAAUAGACAUCAUAUCCUUUUGCCGUGAUAAAUGUGGAAUAAUCAUCCUUAUAUGAAGAGCCUACUCACUUAUGCUGGUAAUUUCCCAGGAGUGGGAUCGCUGGGCUUGAAGAAAUGUACAUUUUAAUUUUUAAUAGACACUGCCAGAUGGCUUUCCAGGGAGUCUGAAACAAUUCACAUUUCCACUUUUUUCCUACAUGCCUGCCAAUAUGUUCUUCCCACUGUGAUAGGAACACUCCUCUGAUGACUGCAGUGCCUUUAUUGGCAAACACUCACAGCGUACAGAGGGCACAGUUCUAUGCCCAUACCUCUGACAAGCAGGAUCUCAUGGCUGCCCUCAAAGAACUUUGAAUCUCAGGAGAAGAGAGAUACCACCAUAAAAUUAUUAAACCAUGGAGGAGGUACACCAUUGUAUGCAUAAUGUAUAUAUCAAUUAUAAUUCUAGUUUAUUGCUUAUUGUUUUCAUGUGUAUUGAUUGUGUCAAUCAAACUGCAAUGUAAAUUCUUUGCACACAAGGGCCUCAUUUGUCUUCCCUCAUUUCUGCUUACUUUCCAGCACAGAGUCUGUCUCAUACUAGGACUUUAAUAAAACUUACUGAUAGAAUGGGGCUGGUCCACUGCUUUCUGGUUCCUGUAAAACCAUGAAUGUAUGGCUAUCCCAAGCAAUAGACGUAAAGCACUUCCUGAAUCAGAACACCUCUAACCUAUUAGAAAUUAUAAAAACUAAUUUGAAAAGAAAUUCUUAGACUUGAAGAAGGGAAUGAAAUAAUAGUAAUGAUACCUGACAUUGGGCCAUGCGCUCUCAUCUAAUUUAAUGGUCACAGCGAUCCAAUUCUGUCAUUAUUGCUAUCGUGACCAUUUAAA
rnacentral:lncRNA from 1 species